UCAAAACCAAGCAAAAAGGAGGUGAAAAUCAAAGAAUUUUCAAGUAUUUCUUAAGAAAAGGUAAAGAAAAGGAAAAAGAACCAAGAGAGGAUCAUUUUUAUUUGAUGUAGAUAGUAUGCUACUGAUGUAGCUAUUGUAUAUUUGACUUCUUUUAGAAUAUGUAUGAUGUAUUAAACAUUAACAGAUCAUCUAUGUAUAUUUGAGCAGAUUCAUGUGAAUUAUGAUUGUAUGAAUUUGAAAAUUUAUAGUCUAUUAAGUAAUUAAUUUCUAUUAUGUA